UGAGGAAUAUUGGUCAAUGGACGAGAGUCUGAACCAGCCAAGUAGCGUGAAGGAUGACUGCCCUAUGGGUUGUAAACUUCUUUUAUACGGGAAUAAAGUGAGGCACGUGUGCCUUUUUGUAUGUACCGUAUGAAUAAGGAUCGGCUAACUCCGUGCCAGCAGCCGCGGUAAUACGGAGGAUCCGAGCGUUAUCCGGAUUUAUUGGGUUUAAAGGGAGCGUAGGCGGACGCUUAAGUCAGUUGUGAAAGUUUGCGGCUCAACCGUAAAAUUGCAGUUGAUACUGGGUGUCUUGAGUACAGUAGAGGCAGGCGGAAUUCGUGGUGUAGCGGUGAAAUGCUUAGAUAUCACGAAGAACUCCGAUUGCGAAGGCAGCUUGCUGGACUGUAACUGACGCUGAUGCUCGAAAGUGUGGGUAUCAAACAGGAUUAGAUACCCUGGUAGUCCACACAGUAAACGAUGAAUACUCGCUGUUUGCGAUAUACAGUAAGCGGCCAAGCGAAAGCGUUAAGUAUUCCACCUGGGGAGUACGCCGGUAACGGUGAAACUCAAAGGAAUUGACGGGGGCCCGCACAAGCGGAGGAACAUGUGGUUUAAUUCGAUGAUACGCGAGGAACCUUACCCGGGCUUGAAUUGCAACUGAAUGAUGUGGAGACAUGUCAGCCGCAAGGCAGUUGUGAAGGUGCUGCAUGGUUGUCGUCAGCUCGUGCCGUGAGGUGUCGGCUUAAGUGCCAUAACGAGCGCAACCCUUAUCGAUAGUUACCAUCAGGUUAUGCUGGGGACUCUGUCGAGACUGCCGUCGUAAGAUGUGAGGAAGGUGGGGAUGACGUCAAAUCAGCACGGCCCUUACGUCCGGGGCUACACACGUGUUACAAUGGGGGGUACAGAAGGCAGCUACACGGCGACGUGAUGCUAAUCCCGAAAGCCUCUCUCAGUUCGGAUUGGAGUCUGCAACCCGACUCCAUGAAGCUGGAUUCGCUAGUAAUCGCGCAUCAGCCAUGGCGCGGUGAAUACGUUCCC
rnacentral:rRNA from 1 species